rnacentral:rRNA from 1 species
AUUGAACGCUGGCGGCAUGCCUUACACAUGCAAGUCGAACGGCAGCACGGGAGCAAUCCUGGUGGCGAGUGGCGAACGGGUGAGUAAUGUAUCGGAACGUGCCCAGUCGUGGGGGAUAACGUAGCGAAAGCUAAGCUAAUACCGCAUACGAUCUAUGGAUGAAAGCGGGGGAUCGCAAGACCUCGCGCGAUUGGAGCGGCCGAUAUAAGAUUAGGUAGUUGGUGGGGUAAAGGCUCACCAAGCCGACGAUCUGUGGCUGGUCUGAGAGGACGACCAGCCACACUGGGACUGAGACACGGCCCAGACUCCUACGGGAGGCAGCAGUGGGGAAUUUUGGACAAUGGGCGAAAGCCUGAUCCAGCAAUGCCGCGUGCAGGAUGAAGGCCUUCGGGUUGUAAACUGCUUUUGUACGGAACGAAACGGCGAACUCUAAUACAGUUUGCUAAUGACGGUACCGUAAGAAUAAGCACCGGCUAACUACGUGCCAGCCGCCGCCGUAA